rnacentral:rRNA from 1 species
AGGAUGAACGCUGGCGGCGUGCUUAACACAUGCAAGUCGAACGGUGAAGCCCAGCUUGCUGGGUGGAUCAGUGGCGAACGGGUGAGUAACACGUGAGCAACCUGCCCCUGACUCUGGGAUAAGCGCUGGAAACGGUGUCUAAUACUGGAUACGAACAGUGACCGCAUGGUCAGUUGUUGGAAAGAUUUUAUUGGUUGGGGAUGGGCUCGCGGCCUAUCAGCUUGUUGGUGAGGUAAUGGCUCACCAAGGCGUCGACGGGUAGCCGGCCUGAGAGGGUGACCGGCCACACUGGGACUGAGACACGGCCCAGACUCCUACGGGAGGCAGCAGUGGGGAAUAGUUGCACAAUGGGCGCAAGCCUGAUGCAGCAACGCCGCGUGAGGAUGACGGCCUGGUUCGUAACUCUUUAGACGAGGAAGAAGCGAGAGUAGACGACCGUGACAAGAAAAGACACCGGACUAACCGUACGUCGACCGACGACGACGACCG